rnacentral:rRNA from 2 species
GAUCGGAUCAAGCGCGAGAAGGGCGUUUGGUGAAUGCCUUGGCAGCAAGAGGCGAUGAAGGACGUGAUACCCUGCGAUAAGCCAUGGGGAGCCGGGAAUGGGCUUCGAUCCAUGGAUCUCCGAAUGGGGCAACCCACCUGACAGUUUUUGGUUAUUGCUUCGCAAUGCACGCUCCGUGCCGGCCCUUGGCCGGUUUGGGAGGUGUGGCGGCGAAGCGGCUGACCGGAAGCUGAACCAGGUACUUUGAGGCUGAAUACAUAGGCUUCAAAGAGCGAACCCGGGGAACUGAAACAUCUAAGUACCCGGAGGAAAGGACAUCAACCGAGACUCCGUCAGUAGCGGCGAGCGAACGCGGACCAGCCGAGCCUCGAGCGUGACCGGAACCGUCUGGAAAGGCGGGCCAUAGCGGGUGACAGCCCCGUACGGGAAGCGUGAGAGGACGUAUCAAGUAGGGCGGGACACGUGUAAUCCUGUCCGAAGAUCGGGGGACCACCCUCGAAGGCUAAGUACUCCUUGCUGACCGAUAGCGAACCAGUACCGUGAGGGAAAGGUGAAAAGCACCCCGACGAGGGGAGUGAAACAGACCCUGAAACCGGACGCCUACAAGCAGUCGGAGCUUGACUGGACACUCAUGACAACCAAAGAGGGGGCCGAACCUGGGCAAAGGGAGCGGCCUCAUGGCGGACGGGACAUUCGCGGCAUUGCUGCUGGUGGCGGGGCUCAUCGACAUGGGCGCCAAUCAUUGCGGCACGGCGGGCGGAUGCUUGGGACAGUCGCGGGACAGCCCCCGGCUGUCGCUGUCCGCGGGCGAGGUGCUCGAGCGGCAAGCCGCGCCGGGCGCCGAGGUCUACCUGCGCUACGACACCGGCCUUCGGACCGGCCCAUUCGGCCAUGCCGCGGGUCUGUCGCUGGGCGAGCGGGGCGAGAUCUGGGCGGGCUAUGGCGCGACCUGGAGCACCGGCUUCGGCGGCGGGCCGCUCUACGCCGAGCUGCACGCGAUGACCGGCGUCUACGAGGCCGGCGACGGGCUCGACCUCGGCGGGCCGAUCGUCUUCCGUUCCGGCCUCGAGCUGGGCUGGGAGGCGGCGUCGGGCUGGCGCCUGGGCCUGGCCUACGAUCACCGCUCGAACGCAGGCCUCUACGACCGCAAUCCCGGGGUAGAGACCGUGCAGCUGCGCGUCAGCGUGCCGCUGAAGUAGCCCGCCGCGACCACGUCAUCGCGGCCCGACCGGCCAGGGGCCGGCACGGAGUGCCGACGCGCCCCGCGCGUCGGUCCAGACAAGGUUGUCAUCAGCGUCCAGUCUUGUGACGGCGUACCUUUUGUAUAAUGGGUCAUCGACUUGGUCUCACAUGCGAGCUUAAGCCGUUAGGUGGAGGCGCAGCGAAAGCGAGUCUUAAAUGGGCGUCGAGUAUGUGGGAUCAGACCCGAAACCGAGUGAUCUAGGCAUGGCCAGGCUGAAGGUGCGGUAACACGCACUGGAGGGCCGAACCCACAUCCGUUGAAAAGGAUCGGGAUGAGCUGUGCCUAGGGGUGAAAGGCCAAUCAAACUCGGAGAUAGCUGGUUCUCCGCGAAAGCUAUUUAGGUAGCGCGUCGAAUGAAUACCCCCGGGGGUAGAGCACUGGAUGGGUAAUGGGGCCCCACAGGCUUACUGAUCCUAACCAAACUCCGAAUACCGGGGAGUACUGUUCGGCAGACACACGGCGGGUGCUAACGCCCGUCGUGGAGAGGGAAACAACCCUGACCUCCGGCUAAGGCCCCCAAUUCGUGGCUAAGUGGGAAAGCAGGUGGGACGACCAAAACAACCAGGAGGUUGGCUUAGAAGCAGCCAUCCUUUAAAGAUAGCGUAACAGCUCACUGGUCUAAUCAAGUUGUCCUGCGGCGAAGAUGUAACGGGGCUCAAGCCACGAGCCGAAGCCGAGGAGUGCGUAAGCACUGGUAGCGGAGCGUCGUGUGACGUGAUCCCAUGCGUUUUUACCGGCGGUGCGUGCGAGCACGCAGCCUGCGGUAUGGACGCGGGGGAUCCUCUGUGAAGCCGGCCCGCGAGGGAUCCGGUGGAGAGAUCACGAGCGAGAAUGAUGACAUGAGUAGCGACAAAGGGGGUGAGAGACCCCCUCGCCGAAAGUCCAAGGGUUCCUGCUUCAAGCUAAUCUGAGCAGGGUGAGCCGGCCCCUAAGGCGAGGCCGAAAGGCGUAGCCGAUGGGAAUCAGGUGAAUAGUCCUGAGCCAGGAGGAUGUGACGGAUCGCGACCGUUGUCGGACCUUAUCGGAUUGGUCCGGCAGCCGAGCGGUUCCAGGAAAUAGCCCUCCAUCAGACCGUACCCGAAACCGACACAGGUGGACUGGUAGAGCAUACCAAGGCGCUUGAGAGAACGAUGUUGAAGGAACUCGGCAAAAUGCCUCCGUAAGUUCGCGAGAAGGAGGCCCGGGUGCUGGGCAACCAGUGUCCGGGGGCACAGACCAGGGGGUGGCGACUGUUUACUAAAAACACAGGGCUCUGCGAAGUCGCAAGACGACGUAUAGGGUCUGACGCCUGCCCGGUGCCGGAAGGUUAAAAGGAGGAGUGAGAGCUCCGAAUUGAAGCCCCGGUAAACGGCGGCCGUAACUAUA